UGGGGAAUUUUGCACAAUGGGGGAAACCCUGAUGCAGCGACGCCGCGUGAUUUAGAAGGCCUUCGGGUUUUAAAAAUCUUUUCUAUGGGAAGAAAAUGACAGUACCAUAGGAAUAAGGACCGGCUAAUUACGUGCCAGCAGCCGCGGUAAUACGUAAGGUCCGAGCGUUGUCCGGAAUCAUUGGGCGUAAAGGGUACGUAGGCGGGUAAGCGAGUUAGAAGUGAAAUCCUAUAGCUCAACUAUAGUAAGCUUUUAAAACUGCUCAGCUUGAGGGAUGGAAGGGAAAGUGGAAUUCCUAGUGUAGCGGUGAAGUGCGCGGAUAUUAGGAGGAAUACCGGUGGCGAAGGCGAGUUUCUGGCCAUAGCCUGACGCUGAGGUACGAAAGCGUGGGUAGCAAACAGG
rnacentral:rRNA from 1 species